GAUGAACGCUAGCUACAGGCUUAACACAUGCAAGUCGCGGGGCAGCAUGGGGGUUGCUUGCAAUCCCCGAUGGCGACCGGCGCACGGGUGAGUAACGCGUAUCCAACCUGCCCUUCACCACGGGAUAACCCGGCGAAAGUCGGACUAAUACCGUAUGUUGUCCAUUGACGGCAUCCGAUUUGGACGAAAGGGUUGGCGGUGAAGGAGGGGGAUGCGUCCGAUUAGCUGGACGGCGGGGUGACGGCCCACCGUGGCGACGAUCGGUAGGGGUUCUGAGAGGAAGGUCCCCCACACUGGAACUGAGACACGGUCCAGACUCCUACGGGAGGCAGCAGUGAGGAAUAUUGGUCAAUGGGCGUAAGCCUGAACCAGCCAAGUAGCGUGCAGGAUGACGGCCCUAUGGGUUGUAAACUGCUUUUAUGCGGGGAUAAAGUGGCCCACGUGUGGGUUUUUGCAGGUACCGCAUGAAUAAGGACCGGCUAAUUCCGUG
rnacentral:rRNA from 1 species